rnacentral:rRNA from 1 species
CGCCAGACUCCUACGGGAGGCAGCAGUGGGGAAUAUUGCACGAUGGGGGAAACCCUGAUGCAGCAACGCCGCGUGAGUGAAGAAGGUUUUCGGAUUGUAAAGCUCUAUCAGCAGGGAAGAAAAUGACGGUACCUGACUAAGAAGCCCCGGCUAACUACGUGCCAGCAGCCGCGGUAAUACGUAGGGGGCAAGCGUUAUCCGGAUUUACUGGGUGUAAAGGGAGCGUAGGCGGGACGGCAAGUCAGAUGUGAAAACUGAGGGCUCAACCUUCAGACUGCAUUUGAAACUGCUGUUCUUGAGUGAAGUAGAGGUAAGCGGAAUUCCUAGUGUAGCGGUGAAAUGCGUAGAUAUUAGGAGGAACAUCGGUGGCGAAGGCGGCUUACUGGGCUUUUACUGACGCUGAGGCUCGAAAGCGUGGGGAGCAAACAGGAUUAGAUACCCUGGUAAC